UUUCUUAAUUGGAAACUGGAAUGAAGGGUGGAAACUUAAUGGAAUGUUUUAUUUGAUUAGUUUGAAUUUAAAUUAAAAGUAAAAAUGCUUUUAUAAAUUCUUGGGACGAGAAGACCCUAGAAGCUUAUUAAAAGAGAAUUUUUUUUGUUGGGGCAACAAUUGAAGAGAUUAAUUUUUAAUUUUAGAAAGAGAGAAUAAAAUAUUCUUAUAUUAAUAAGUAAGGUCUACUUGUAGUAUUUAAAUAAAUAUUUUAUUUUUUUAUGUAUAAGAAAAUUAAUUGAAAGUUACUCUAGGGAUAACAGCGUUAUUUAAUUGGAGAGUUCUUAUUAAUAAUUAAGGUUGCGACCUCGAUGUUGAAUUAAAUUAAAUUUUUGGUGAAGGAGCUAAAAUAAAUUAGUCUGUUCGACUAUUAAAAAUUUACGUGAUCUGAGUUCAGACCGGA
rnacentral:rRNA from 1 species